AUAAUGUAGUAGCAACUAAGCUGCUAUGUACCACAUACAUAUAAUAUAAUAUAAAUAUUUGUGUCAAUACUCAGUCCUAAUUCAACUCAAUUCAGAUUUGUAUAUACAUCUGUGUAGUGUAUGUGUGUGUUACUCCUGGUUUUUAUUUCUUUAGAUUGAGACUGCAGACACUACAGCCUUGCUUGAGCUUUCUGAAAGAAUCGUAGCAUGUGGUACACAGGAUCCUAACAUGUGAUGAAAGGAAGACAUUGUCAGGUGGCUGGAAUAACAACCCUAAUGUCGUCCAGUUAAAGUAGAUCUUUAGGAAGCUGAUGUUAAACAGAGGCAAUGUGACGGCGCAGGAUGAGUCCCUACCAUCUGUCCUCAACACCUCUUCAAACCUGUCAGAUAUGAGGAGAAGAUCUUCCAUCCACGUUUGCUGACAUUCCUGCCCUAGUACAUGACCACAGCUACCCUCUCGUCUGCUUCGAUGGUCUUGUGGACAACAGUCUCUUGUACAUUUCAACAUGUACAAUUAUACAAGUCUUGCAUAAUUAUGGGCUGAAAUUCAACAUGGUUGUAUAUUUAAGACAUGAAUAUUUCAAUUAAAAACAUUUCAAACUGAUUUUCAUAAUCAAAAAUUCAAGAAUUCAUAUUCACCUUUCAGAUUUCACUUCCAAAAUAUUCGAUCUGUUUAAAAAUACAACCUAUAAUAUUCAACAGGCAAGUUUCAGUCCAUUUUAUUUCGCUUUACAAAUUCGCUUCCACAAAUUCAGUGGUUCAAAUUCGACAGUAAAUUCACCGUUUCACAUCCGGGAACAACAGGAAAAUCAGUAGAUUACCGAUCACAAUCUCAUCUGCUGUAAAUCGUCUUCACCGGCAGGGGGUGCAAGCGCUACUUUGUCUUAACAAGCAUCAACGAAACCGUCACGAGAGGCCUUCAUAAAACAUCAUUUGACGAAAUGGACCGAGCGCAUUUGCUUUUGGAUUAUGUUUUGGAAAGACUCCGUUCACGCUUGGAAAAUGCUGUUGGACGCCAACCCCUUGACAUGGACUACCUGGAGUUCAUCUGCUCUCAAGAAUUAGUCUUUUUAAGUGCUGUGACCAAUUUAGUUACCAUCCCAGCUGAUAUUUUCGAGGGCAUCACAGAACUGUUGGACUAGUUCGACUAAACCUGUCAGACGGGGAGACGCGCACUUCGACUAUUCUGCAGGAGUCAGGGUCGAUGGGACGACCACGUCUUCUAAUCUCACCAGACUACAUCACCAAUCUCCUGGACAUGAACUUUUCUGUUCCAAACAUUGCUCGCAUGCUUGGAGUAAGUACACGCGCAGUUUUCAGACGAAUGGCUGAAUGUAACCUCUCCAUUCGGGCGCGAUAUAGCACUCUCACGGACGAAGAGUUAGAUGAUUGUGUGAAAGAUGUAAAGCAACACAUGCCUCAGUGUGGAUACAGAAUGAUGAGAGCAGCUGUAAAGGACACCAAGAGCAGUUCGACCGGGUCAGGGCAGAUACAGUGGGAGUCAUGUCCCGAAGGGCACAGUUGGGCUGCGUGGUACGAAGGACCCAUUCAGUGUCAGGUCCUAGGUCAAUAAUGCACAUUGACACCAACUAUAAACGGAUUCGCUACAAUAUAGUCAUCUUUGGGGUGUGGAUGGCUUUUCACGCAAGGUAGUGCCCACUAUUAACUAUUUUUUGACUUCUCUAUAUUCUAUUCACUAAUCAUCCGGCAAAUAAUUUCCUCUGUUUAAUAGAUAAUGUAUCUUGGAGCUUCAUCUAAUAAACUUGCUAAAACCACCUUGGAUUUUUUUCAAGAAGCAGCGGAGACAUUUGGCUUCCCUCUCAGGUAGACCUGAUCUAGAGUAAGAUCUCCUCAUAAUAUUCAGUUCAGUUCAAGUUCAAUAAAUGAAAUGAUCGACACUCUUAAGACCAAACUGUGGCGCUGACAUAUGUUAUGAUAUUCCAGUAAAAGUUGCUUUCAGUUUUAACAGCUCAAAAUGUAUUUUAGUCUAGCACUAGCUUAAGCUGUAAAACAGGAGCUUAUGUCUGUGAAU